rnacentral:rRNA from 1 species
AAUGGCAGGUCAGCAUACUGCCGUGAAUACGUUCCCGGGCCUUGUACACACCGCCCGUCCACACCAUGAGAGUUGGGAAUGCCCGAAGCCUGUGAGCUAACAUUUAUGAGGCAGCAGUCGAAGGUAGAAUCAAUGAUUGGGGUGAAGUCGUAACAAGGUACC